UACGAAGGGGGCUAGCGUUGCUCGGAAUUACUGGGCGUAAAGGGAGCGUAGGCGGAUAGUUCAGUCAGAGGUGAAAGCCCAGGGCUCAACCUUGGAAUUGCCUUUGAUACUGGCUGUCUUGAGUAUGGGGAGAGGUUAGCGGAACUCCGAGUGUAGAGGUGAAAUUCGUAGAUAUUCGGAAGAACACCAGUGGCGAAGGCGGCUAACUGGCCCAUUACUGACGCUGAGGCUCGAAAGCGUGGGGAGCAAACAG
rnacentral:rRNA from 1 species